AUUGAACGCUGGCGGCAGGCCUAACACAUGUAAGUCGAACGAGUGGCGGACGGGUGAUUAAUGUCUGGGAAACUGCCUGAUGGAGGGGGAUAACUACUGGAAACGGUAGCUAAUACCGCAUACCAUCAGAUGUGCCCAGAUGGGAUUAGCUUGUUGGUGGGGUAACGGCUCACCAAUGCGACGAUCCCUAGCUGUUCUGAGAGGCUGACCAGCCACAGUGGAACUGAGACACGGUCGAGACGCCUACGAGAGGCAGCAGUGGGAAAGAGUGCACAAUGGGCGCAAGCCUGAUGCAGCCAUGCCGCGUGUAUGAAGAAGGCCUGGGGGUUGUAAAGUACUUUCAGCGGGGAGGCGAUAACCGCAGAAGAAGCACCGGCUAACUCCGUGACAGGAGCCGCGAAUUC
rnacentral:rRNA from 1 species